AUUGAACGCUGGCGGCGUGCCUAAUACAUGCAAGUCGAACGCAGUGGGGACGGGUGAGGAACACGUGGGUAACCUCCCAUCAGAGGGGAUAACACUUGGAAAAUGGUGCUAAAACCGCUACUGGUGGAUGGACCCGCGGUGGAUUAGCUAGUCGGUGAGGUAACGGCUCACCAAGGCCACGAUGCAUAGCUGGCCGGAGAGGGUGACCGGCCACACUGGGACUGAGACACGGCCCAGACUCCUACGGGAGGCAGCAGUGGGGAAUCUUCGGCAAUGGGCGAAAGUCUGACAGAGCAACGCCGCGUGAGUGAAGAAGGUUUUCGGAUCGUAAAACUCUGUUGUUAGAGAAGCGUUAUCUAACCAGAAAGCCACGGCUAACUACGUGCCAGCCGCCGCGGUAAUUC
rnacentral:rRNA from 1 species